rnacentral:rRNA from 1 species
CCCUUAGAUGUUCUGGGCCGCACGCGUGCUACACUGAACGGUUCAAUGGGUGAGGUAGUGCGAAAGCAUGACCCAAUCUCAAAAUCCGUUCGUGCUGGGGAUAGAAGCUUGCAAUUCUCCUUCUUGAACGAGGAAUACCUUGUAAGCGCGAGUCAUCAUCUCGUGCUGAAUACGUCCCUGCCCUUUGUACACACCGCCCGUCGCUCCUACCGAUUGAGUGGUCCGGUGAGGCUUCGGGAGAGCUAAAUGGAUUGUGUUUCACAAACUAUUUGGCUUGAACUUAGUCAAACCUUACUACUUAGAGGAAGGAGAAGUCGUAACA